ACGAACGCUGGCGGCGUGCUUAACACAUGCAAGUCGCACGGAAAGGCCCUGCUUUUGUGGGGUGCUCGAGUGGCGAACGGGUGAGUAACACGUGAGUAACCUGCCCUUGACUUUGGGAUAACUUCAGGAAACUGGGGCUAAUACCGGAUAGGAGCUCCUGCUGCAUGGUGGGGGUUGGAAAGUUUCGGCGGUUGGGGAUGGACUCGCGGCUUAUCAGCUUGUUGGUGGGGUAGUGGCUUACCAAGGCUUUGACGGGUAGCCGGCCUGAGAGGGUGACCGGCCACAUUGGGACUGAGAGACGGCCCAGACUCCUACGGGAGGCAGCAGUGGGGAAUAUUGCACAAUGGGCGGAAGCCUGAUGCAGCAACGCCGCGUGCGGGAUGACGGCCUUCGGGUUGUGAACCGCUUUCGCCUGUGACGAAGCGUGAGUGACGGGAAUGGGUAAAGAAGCCCCGGCUAAUUACGUG
rnacentral:rRNA from 1 species